GACGAACGCUGGCGGCGUGCCUAAUACAUGCAAGUAGGACGCAGUUGCGAACGGGUGAGUAACGCGUAGGUGACUGCCUAUUAGAGGGGGGUAACUAUUGGAAACGAUAGCUAAUACCGCAUACUAGUAGAUGGACCUGCGGUGUAUUAGCUAGUAGGUUGGGUAAAGGGCUACCUAGGCGACGGUACAUAGCCGACCUGGGAGGGUGAACGGGCACACUGGGACCUGGACACGGCCCAGACUCCUACGGGAGGCAGCCGUAGGGAAUCUUCGGCAAUUGGGGGAAACCUGACCGAGCAACUCCGCGGGAGUGAAGAAGGGUUUCGGAUCGUAAAGCUCUGUUGUUAAGGAAGCGGUACUUAACCAGAAAGGGACGGCUAACUACGUGCCAGCAGCCGCGGUAAUUC
rnacentral:rRNA from 1 species